GGGCCAGCGCCCGGGCUGCUGCCGCCGCCGGAGCCGGCCGGGAAGGGGGCCUGCGGCCCCAGCCCCCUGCUUCGGCACACGGCAGGAUAGUGUCCCGGCUCCGCGCCACCGGCGGCUGCCGCCGUCCCGGCUGAGCCUCCAGACUCUCACACCCCCAAGCCUAUCUUCGUCAUUAAUAAUUCUGCUAACUUAAGUGGGUUUGCUUGGCAUACCAGGUUCACCUCGAAUGGCAGGAGCAUGUGUAUGGGUGUGUGGGGACUGGAAGGACAGCUGUGCUAAGUGUUUCCUGCAGGACGAGGCGAAAGUUUUCUGUUCCCGGUCACUUGGCGCUGCAGAUAACGCACAUCGCUCUGCAUUUCCUCUUAAAGCUUGCAAGUUGACUCCCAUUAUACAAGCCUUCGUGGGGCUUUAUUUACAUGAAUAUAUUUGGACGAAGGAACAAGUGAUGGAGUGAUAAGCAAGCAGCCUUCCUGUAAUGAAGAACCUGGAAUGCUCCAACUAUUCCAGUUCUUCCCCUUGUACUCCCACAGCUGUAUAAUAAACAAUUACAGAGUAAGUGCU